GCUCCUGUGGUUUAAUGGUAAGAGCGCCCGCUUCGGAUGCGGGAGGUCGUGGCUUCGAACCCAGGUUGAGUCA